UAUCAUCGUGGUUCGGCCGUUUGUAGCGGAUUGACAGUCAUGAUCAGGGUCAGGAUGAGGAGUCUGACUCUGACCCAGUCGGCUUCCCGUAGGCAGUUACAGACAGUCUGAGGUUUGAUGUGUCUGUUGUUCAGACCGAUCAGCUGUGUCGCUGGUCUGAGCCGAUCCUCCAAUGGACGAGCCGAUGUGGCGAUCUGGAGUCGGAUCUGUUGGAAACCAGCUCUGAAACGGCCGGCGGUCCGAUACCAGAGCUGCUGCUGUGCUGGACGUCCUGCAUCCAACACGCCAACGGCUCCACAGAACAUCUGAGGCUUUAUGACUGGAGACAUCAUGUGACGUGUUGGGGCCUUUUAUUGUCCAGUUGUUUUCAUCUACCCAGUGGACAUGUCCCACAAUGCACUGAGUAAAUAACUGAGUGAUGCUCACUGACAGCAAACUGGACUAAACAUUAUACACAAACCAAGAGAAAUAUUAGUUUGGUACAAUAAAAUGUCAGCAAAUGUUCAUUCCGCGUUCGGGGUCGUUUCCGAUCUAUUGAAAAUGUCAUUUCACCAGGUGCUGCAGGGCUUGGCCGAUGAUGAACAUCGAUCCGAAGCCCCAACAAGUCAGCUGGAGAAAGGUUAAGAUGUUCGCCUCGUUAUAUUCACGGACACGAAGGUGAGUUUUACUUUGGCUUAUGCUAGUAGGCAAUAUUCUCUGACAUUGUUCUUGUAAAAAUGUGCUAUUUAAGAAUCUAAGCAUUCUAACGGACAAUGUUUGUGCCUUAUUUUCCAGUAUACUGUGUGUUUAUUGUCGUUAGUGUCAGAGACUGACGGGGAGGUUCCGGUUCGGAAGCCUGACGGAGCUCAACAAGCCUCAUAGCUUGACAGUAGCGCAGCUCUGGUG